UCAAAGCCGGCCUCGUGGCUGAGGUCAUGGCCGCUUCCUCGGGUGUGCAAGCCGGGGUCCCGGUUCAGGCCUUUGCUGAUGGCAAGGCUGCAGGGGCGGGCGGACGGGCCUUUGCCACAGUGCUGCAACACCUCGGAGGCGGAGGCGUUUCUGUGGCGUCGGCGGCGCAGGUGCCAAGGCGCGCUUCGGGGAGUGGACGGACCCCUGGCCUGACAUAGGGGAGCUGGCCGGAAGGCGGGUGAAACCCUCAGACGAGGAGAAGGA